UACGAAGGGGGCUAGCGUUGCUCGGAAUCACUGGGCGUAAAGCGCACGUAGGCGGAUCUUUAAGUCAGGGGUGAAAUCCCAAGGCUCAACCUUGGAACUGCCUUUGAUACUGGGGAUCUCGAGUCCGGAAGAGGUGAGUGGAACUGCGAGUGUAGAGGUGAAAUUCGUAGAUAUUCGCAAGAACACCAGUGGCGAAGGCGGCUCACUGGCCCGAUACUGACGCUGAGGCACGAAAGCGUGGGGAGCAAACAGG
rnacentral:rRNA from 1 species